CCAGCAGCCGCGGUAACUCCAGCUCCAAUAGCGUAUAUUAAAGUUGCUGCAGUUAAAAAGCUCGUAGUUGGAUCUCGGUAGCACUGUUGCUCGUCAGUCCUUUGGUAGAUGGCUAUGUGCGCAUGGGCCUGACUCGUGUUGCCAUGGCUGUCUGCCCGAGUUGGCGGUGUGACGGUGUCGCCUUUCAGCCAUGUCUGUGGUGAAAUACCCUCAGGUGUAGGCGAGUGUCGGGUGGUGCCUAGCGUGAGUUGGGUCUGUCGGCCCGUCUGCAUGCCUUUGGAUGCCCUUUAAAAGGUGUCUGUGGGCGGAUGGCACGUUUACUUUGAACAAAUUUGAGUGCUCAAACCAGGCCGAUGUUGCCUGAAAAGUUUUGCAUGGAAUAAUGGAAUAGGACUUCGGUUCUAUUUCGUUGGUUUUCGGAUCCGAAGUAAUGAUCAAAAGAGACAGGCGGGGG
rnacentral:rRNA from 1 species